UGGGGAAUUUUGGACAAUGGGGGAAACCCUGAUCCAGCCAUCCCGCGUGUGCGAUGAAGGCCUUCGGGUUGUAAAGCACUUUUGGCAGGAAAGAAACGUCGCGGGUUAAUACCCCGCGGAACUGACGGUACCUGCAGAAUAAGCACCGGCUAACUACGUGCCAGCAGCCGCGGUAAUACGUAGGGUGCAAGGCGUUAAUCGGAAUUACUGGGCGUAAAGCGUGCGCAGGCGGUUUGUUAAGACAGGUGUGAAAUCCCCGGGCUUAACCUGGGAAUUGCGCUUGUAACUGGCAGGCUAGAGUGUGGCAGAGGGGGGUGGAAUUCCACGUGUAGCAGUGAAAUGCGUAGAUAUGUGGAGGAACACCGAUGGCGAAGGCAGCCCCCUGGGUUAACACUGACGCUCAUGCACGAAAGCGUGGGGAGCAAACAGGAUUAGAUACCCAAGUAGUCCCUGAGCGGGCUGGCAAGGCGCAU
rnacentral:rRNA from 1 species